ACAUGUAAGUUGCGUUCCACCCAUCCCCAUCUCUCUCUCUUGUUUAUGUUGUCUGAUUGAAUGAUUAUGGUGAUCUCAUGAUUGUGGAAUAUUUCUUGCUCUUCUGGGCUUGUGGAAGUGGCCACUUAUGGAGGUUGAUUGAUUUGGUUGGUUCGAUAGGAUCCCAACCUGAGGAGAAUGAUGGUUUGGAGAUGGCUAGGUAAUGUGAUAGAUUCAGACAUCUUAUUUGUUGGAUGUGUAUUUCUUUUUAAAUAGGCAAUAUGUUCUUGUUUGAUUGCUCUACAAGGUCUCAAAUAGUCAGCUACCAUCAUUCUUAAAUCAAAGGAAAGAUUACUGCACUUGUAGUUAUGAUAUGUGCUAAUAAUGAAUUGAAAACAUGAAAAUUGUAACCUGAAGGUUUGAGCGUUGUCACCUAACCUUUUCUGUUUAUAAUGAACACCAGGGUAUAAAUCUUCAAGUGUCUUUCUUGUUUAAGCUUGUGUUCGAUUAGCUUGCAGCCCUUGGUAGCACUAAGACUUCACUGGCAUCAUUUACAACCCUAUUGGCUCUCUUUGCAGCAGCCUGUGGGGCAUCGACCAGACUGGCAGCGCUUCCAGGAAGGAGAGGCUUGGGGGCCUCGUGGAUUGGGAAGAUGGCGGCCACCCGGGUUUCUUCGAUCGAUCUGCGAUCUGGACAGGGCCACGGCAACGCGGGCGUCGGGCGUAGGCGACCGACCCUCUGCAGCCACGCGUUGACAGGUAGAAGGCAUAACACUCCUCCCACCUUUGCUUCUCCCCUCCUCCCCUUCACUUCCCACUCCUUUCCAAUCUAGACUACCCACCUACGUCCGCAUAUUUUUUCUCUCGAUUUGUACUACUUGAUUCUCUGGUUCUCUUAUAAUCUUAUUUUGAUUCCUCAACUUUUAGUUACCUGUCGAGACUAUAAGAAGAAUUUUGAGGAAGAAUUUGAUCAAGAAGACCAAGGUGAAUUAUGUCUCUCUUGAACACAGUCACGCCUGUUCCUGCAUUUUUGGAUUUUUCUGUGUAGUAGAGCACAUGCCAUGAUUUUGUACUCCUCUUCCUUUCGCAACCUUGCCUGCCGAGCGCACUGAGCUGUUUUGCUGUACAAAGAGCCUCUCCUUUUCAAUGUGCCAUGGUGUCCCUCUCCAGGCUAGCUCCAAACUUUUGACCCCAUCAUUCCCAUGAUGUCUAAGAAUAUCAUAGGGAAGAGGCUCUGGGAGAGGGGGUUUGGUUUUACUUUUCUGGUUUUGCAACACGAUGCGACGAAUUUCUCUUGCACGUAUGGCUUUAUUCCUUCAUUUACCAUAUGCAAAUCUUAAUCUUCAAUUUGUUUGGUUUCCUAUGAGUGGAGAUUACUGUGAUGCUAUGUAAGCGUAAAGUGUAGAGUGAAUCAGAUAUGUGCUAGGUCCACUAAUUUAGCUCAUUACCUUGCUUCAUUGUUGUGUAGAUGCAAAACUUGUUUUCCCUUUUGCUGAAUUUGCCACUAUUUUUCAUUUCUUCUCAUUAUUAUCUAAUCAAAGUGACUCGACGUAUUUGAGGCUCUCGUGCAUGUCUGGUUUGGACUUGCCCUUAUUUUUUACCAAAUCACUAAACUAAACUGUAUAAAUAAAAUAGACCCCCUCCUUUCCAACACCUUAUAUAUUAUUAGAGUGAGCAAUAACAUGUUAUCAUAUUCGGUUUCUUGUGAGAAGCACUUCAGUUUAGAUUGUCAUAUACUCUUUGGUAUAUAGCAUUUUUUGCUUAUAUCUAUUGCCUAUUUCGCAUAGAGAGAUGGUUUGCUUUGGAGAGGAAUUAGAUAAGGCCCAUGAGUCCUAAGUAAGUGUGAUAAGCAAGCCCUGCACUUCUAUUUACUAUUAAGCGUCAACUAAAUUUUUGAUAAUGGCAUUUCAGAGAUAAUACAAUCAAUCCAACAGUUAAUUUUGGUGUGCUUUUUGGACGGACUAAUAUGAAGACGCUGGCUAGCUCGCAUUGCCAUCAUAUAGUCUAGAAGCAAGGGCAAGGAUUAUAGGGAAAAUGAAGGUACAAUGCUCCCAAUAUAUUUUACCUUCUCGGCGAAGUUUUGGUGCUUGCGCAAGAAAAUAACACCAUCAUUAUACCUACUGCUCAUUUUUUAUUCAGGCAAUUAGCCAUCAAUAGGAAAAGCCAACUAAUUGUACUUUCUCUAUUGCAGAGGUGAAAUUACUACUACUUUUCGAAAGUUUUUUUUAUGCAUGUUCCCCUUUCUUAAUCUUCUAUUUUUUCAAAUGUACAUACCUGUGCUUAUAAUCAUUAUUACACUUGGUUCUAGUGCAAGAGCAUACUUUAUCUUUCAAUUUCCAUCAAUCCAUCUUGAUGUGUGAUUGGGUUGUUGUGUGAUGCUGUUAGCUAUUGAUAUGGUGUCUGCUUAUGUCUGUUCAUAAGUACGCCCUUUGCCUAUUGUUCGGUUGAGACGUAUAGCAAGCACAAGAAAAAUCUGCUAAUGAGUCCUUAGCUAGCUUUUGAUAUUUUAGUCCUCUGGCCUUGUUCACACAUAGCUCCAGAAUUAGGGAACUAGAAAUAACUGAUUCUUGUCCACAAAAAACAGCUAGGUAAUUUUCAUAGACCUUCUGACCUUCAUUAUUAUAUGCUUUUGCAUUUGUUGCAUUCGUUCUUUCAGGUUGUUUCAUUAUUUUUCCAUGUUGGCUUUAGGAUGCCCAGUGUAUUUCAGCUCAUAUGUACAUGUAUUGUGUAUGGUUUAUUUGUCCUAUCUGCCGGUGUCUGAGCAUGACAAGCAGCAAAGAGGGAGGGGGGAUUUUUUAAGUACAAAGCAAAAUGUGCACAAAAUAGAUGCGGCUCACAAUGUCAUAGCAUAGACUGGAAAAAAUAUACAUUGUAUAUAUAUCAUAAAUACUAUUAUCCAGUGCUCACGAUUUAUGUUCACAUAGAUACAUGGUAACAACAACAUACCUGGUUUUGUGGAUAAUGACUACUCCAGUGCCACAACAGUAGAAUACACUAGACUGGUCAAAAGUGCUCCAUUGCCUCAAUUGUAGAAUACACCGGACUGGCCAAAAGUUGUCCAUAGCCACAACUGUAGAAUAUAUGUCGCAGUUUGACCUUCAUACUCUCAAUUUGAAGCUUCAUAUCAUCCUGUUUAGCCAAAAAAUAUCAUAAAUUGCACAUUCAUUUGGGUAAACAUGUUGGCUUUCAUGUAGUGAUAUUUUGCUUUGGCAGUGUGCAUCGUAUGAUGCUGAGGCCUAGAGAUGAACCUUUCCAUCAUCUUAAAAGAAAAAAAGUUUGUACCCAAUAGAAUGAAAUACUUUUGCCCAGGGUGUAACAGCUACCUGGGAAUGAGAAUGCCUAAGGUCUCUUGCAGUUUCUGAAACUUCUUCCUGCAGAUCAAAGAUAUCUCAGAAGCUAUCUCCCCGGAAGCUCCUAUAAACUGAAUAUCCACUGCUGCUGCUACUGAGCUGCGCUACUGAUGUGCUUGAUUGUGAAUUUGUCUUCAGGGUUGUAUCAGCAUGGUAAGAGAUCUCGCUGCCAGCACUGCCUAAAGGGCUAGCUUCAGGAUUGACCUAUUUAUAUUUACGAGUGUGUGAUCACAUUGCGAUGGCAGAGAUGACUGGCGGAAUAAUACAGUUGAUGUUCCAUUUCUGACAGCCCACUCUGCUGUAGACAGAAUAGUUAGUAACACUCUAAUACACUUUUUUUGUUUGUAUUCAGUUGAUAGGUGUAAUCAACAAUUUUCAGAAAACAAAAUCAAAUGCAGACUUGAGUAUUACCUGAGGGCGCACUGGAAAGGCUUCCAGAGCUAGGAGAAGAAACGGUUGAAGAAGAUAUGGUCUUAGGUGUUUCAUAGGCAUCAGGUGUAAGAGUGCACGAAUGACAGUUUGCCCUUUGAAACGACGUACGCCGUACAGAAGCUUGGAAUGCAUUCAGAGAUUUUUGUUGAAGUCUUGCUUCCUUUGAGCUUCCUGCAAACAAUCAACAAUGGUAGCCACACGAUUAAGAUUGCACUAGGCAAUUCUUAUCCUAUACUGUACUGGGUUUUAUUCUUUAUAAAAAUUGUUCAGCCUAAAUUUUCUGCAAAUUUCCAUAUUGAACUUGGAACCAAGUAGUUGCAGUGCAACCUUCAGUGUUAGGCUGGUAGCUGGGGAAUUAAAUGAGAAGACAAUGAUAAUCCUACCAAAUGCUUUUCUCACUAUAUAUCACAGUGCUCCAGCU
rnacentral:lncRNA from 1 species